AGAGUUUGAUCCUGGCUCAGGACGAACGCUGGCGGCGUGCCUAAUACAUGCAAGUCGAACGCACUGACGGAGAACUUGUUCUCUUGACGUGAGUGGCGCACGGGUGAGUAACACGUGGGAAACCUACCCUUCAGCGGGGGAUAACCAUCGGAAACGAUGACUAAUACCGCAUAGACGACAGAACCGCCUGGUUCAAUCGGGAAAGACGGCUUCGGCUGUCACUGAAGGAUGGUCCCGCGCUGCAUUAGCUAGUUGGUAAGGUAACGGCUUACCAAGGCGAUGAUGCAUAGCCGACCUGAGAGGGUGAUCGGCCACAUUGGGACUGAGACACGGCCCAAACUCCUACGGGAGGCAGCAGUAGGGAAUCUUCCGCAAUGGACGCAAGUCUGACGGAGCAACGCCGCGUGUGUGAAGAAGGUUUUCGGAUCGUAAAGCACUGUUAUUAGAGAAGAACAGCCGAUAGAGUAACUGUUAUCGGUUUGACGGUAUCUAACCAGAAAGUGACGGCUAACUACGUGCCAGCAGCCGCGGUAAUACGUAGGUCACAAGCGUUGUCCGGAUUUAUUGGGCGUAAAGGGAGCGCAGGCGGUUUGUUAAGUCUGAUGUGAAAGCCCACGGCUCAACCGUGGAACGGCAUUGGAAACUGGCAAACUUGAGUAUAGAAGAGGAAAGUGGAAUUCCAUGUGUAGCGGUGAAAUGCGUAGAUAUAUGGAGGAACACCAGUGGCGAAGGCGACUUUCUGGUCUAUAACUGACGCUGAGGCUCGAAAGCGUGGGGAGCGAACAGGAUUAGAUACCCUGGUAGUCCACGCCGUAAACGAUGAGUGUUAAGUGUUGGGGGGCUUCCACCC
rnacentral:rRNA from 1 species